AUGCCAAACCUGAAACGAGUUUCACCAACACAAAAACCUGUCAAGCCUCAAGGCCAUAAACCUUUAACUUGCCAAAUUCAAAAAGCAGAAACAUCCACCAUCUUAAACAUACUCAACAAUCCAAGAGGCAACAGAAGUGAGGAAAAAGCAUACAAACGAAGGCAGCAGUCAAGCAUCAACAUUGUCAAGCUAGUCAAAACAAAUAUUUCAACAAUAGCAUGUUCAAGGCAACGCAAAAGCCUCACAAAUAUUCAUCAUAGGCCAGUAAAAAGAAGCAACUGA